CCUACGGGAGGCUGCAGUGAGGAAUAUUGGUCAAUGGACGAGAGUCUGAACCAGCCAAGUAGCGUGAAGGAUGACUGCCCUAUGGGUUGUAAACUUCUUUUAUAAAGGAAUAAAACGAGGCACGUGUGCCUUUUUGCAUGUACUUUAUGAAUAAGGAUCGGCUAACUCCGUGCCAGCAGCCGCGGUAAUACGGAGGAUCCGAGCGUUAUCCGGAUUUAUUGGGUUUAAAGGGAGCGUAGAUGGGUUGUUAAGUCAGUUGUGAAAGUUUGCGGCUCAACCGUAAAAUUGCAAGUGAUACUGGCAGUCGUGAGUACAGUUGAGGUAGGCGGAAUGCGUGGUGUAGCGGUGAAAUGCUUAGAUAUCACGAAGAACCCCGAUUGCGAAGGCAGCUUACUAAACUGUGACUGACAUUGAUGCUCGAAAGUGUGGGUAUCAAACAGGAUUAGAUACCCCAGUAGUC
rnacentral:rRNA from 1 species